GAAAUACGUGAAUCAGAAAUAAGCUUCUAACUUAAUUUCUAAGCGAUGAAAUUUCGUUUGUAUUUCU
rnacentral:tRNA from 1 species